rnacentral:rRNA from 1 species
UACGAAGGGGGCUAGCGUUGUUCGGAAUUACUGGGCGUAAAGCGUGCGCAGGCGGCUUCUCAAGUCAGGGGUGAAAUCCUGGAGCUCAACUCCAGAACUGCCUUUGAUACUGAAGAUCUUGAGUGCGGGAGAGGUGAGUGGAACUGCGAGUGUAGAGGUGAAAUUCGUAGAUAUUCGCAAGAACACCAGUGGCGAAGGCGGCUCACUGGCCCAUUACUGACGCUGAGGCACGAAAGCGUGGGGAGCAAACAGG